CCUACGGGAGGCAGCAGUGGGGAAUUUUCCGCAAUGGGCGAAAGCCUGACGGAGCAAGACCGCGUGGGGGAAGAAGGCUCUUGGGUUGUAAACCCCUUUUCUCUGGGAAGAACAAAAUGACGGUACCAGAGGAAUCAGCAUCGGCUAACUCCGUGCCAGCAGCCGCGGUAAGACGGAGGAUGCAAGCGUUAUCCGGAAUGAUUGGGCGUAAAGCGUCCGCAGGUGGCAGUUCAAGUCUGCUGUCAAAGACCGGGGCUUAACCUCGGAAAGGCAGUGGAAACUGAGCAGCUAGAGUAUGGUAGGGGCAAAGGGAAUUCCUGGUGUAGCGGUGAAAUGCGUAGAGAUCAGGAAGAACAUCGGUGGCGAAGGCGCUUUGCUGGACCAUAACUGACACUCAGGGACGAAAGCUAGGGGAGCGAAUGGGAUUAGAUACCCCAGUAGUCCUAGCCGUAAACGAUGGAUACUAGGUGUUGUCUGUAUCGACCCGGACAGUGCCGUAGCUAACGCGUUAAGUAUCCCGCCUGGGGAGUCGCACGCAAGUGUGAAACUUAAAGGAAUUGACGGCUGAGAGNGCGAGACGACGACGAGGAGAGG
rnacentral:rRNA from 1 species